rnacentral:rRNA from 1 species
UACCAGCACCCCGAGUGGUCGGGACGUUUAUUGGGCCUAAAGCAUCCGUAGCCGGUUCUACAAGUCUUCCGUUAAAUCCAGCUGCUUAACAGAUGGGCUGCGGAAGAUACUAUGGAGCUAGGAGGCGGGAGAGGCAAGCGGUACUCGAUGGGUAGGGGUAAAAUCCGUUGAUCCAUUGAAGACCACCAGUGGCGAAGGCGGCUACCUGGACCAGCAUUGACACUCAAGCACGAAAGCGUGGGGAGCAAACAGG